UGGACAUCUCAUGGAGUAGGACUCUCUUAUUCAUCUCUGCAUUCCCAUGGCUUCGUGCUACGUAUGUUAGGUGCUCAUUGGUUGAUGAGAUGAAUUUAAUGCUCAGAGAGGGGAAGGAGAGACACAAACUCAUAUAGAUGAAGAGAAAUACUCAUCUUUUCAGAAUGAGCAAUUGGGAGGAAAAUUUCCAGAGAGUUUAUUUCCUGGCGGAGAUUGGUGAAAUGUUUGGGAAAACGUGGAUUUCUCUGUGAGGGUCCUCAGCUGACCUCCAAAAACUGUAAACUCCUUCAGCGAAGAUUCCACUUUCUGAACGGUGCUGAGCCCAAUGCUGGGACUGCCUAUUGGCAGAUCCAAAUGGAGGCAUAACACAGGUUUUAGCCUCACAAAUCCGAAUAUGGGGAUCAAUC
rnacentral:lncRNA from 1 species